AAGAGCCUGCUGUGACAAGGAAGGCUAUGUUUGGCUUUCUGAUUACCAUGCAUUUUAUGAUGUCUUCUCCUCUCUGUUGUCUUCCAGCUGCUGUCUCACUAUCCCUGCAACAACAGUCCUGGAAGACAUAAGGCGAACCAACAGAUACUGGAAUGAAUGAAUGAAUACUAAUAUGAACUUCCAAGUUCAGUCCAGCUAUAUCAUAAGGACAUCAUGAUGAAAGGCAAGUGAGAAGUAACUAGAUAAGAUGCAAGCAGCACAGAGACCUGGAAAACAGGGAGUGACUGGACCAAGCAGUGCUGAUU